rnacentral:lncRNA from 1 species
AACCAGGGGGUUUAGCCCACUGGCCACCGGGUCCUCACUUAAGUGAAGUGACCCGGGUUCGAUCCCUCUUGGGAGCGAAUUGGAGAUUGGAGAUAUAAGGUGGAUUUGGUGAUUUGGUGAAUGGAGAGAUAAGGUGGUUCUUGGAGUGGAUGGGGGGAACUAACUACUAACAUCUAACAUAACUUUGCCCGAUCAAAAAAAAAAACAAUUAAUUAUGUUGUUGUUUUACUACAUGCACAAUAAAAUACUACAAAUCGCACUUGAAUCAAAGGCAACAAGGCAAUUCAUAUUAGCUAUAAAAAUCGAUAAUAGAGAUGAUUAGUUAAAGUCUAAGACUUACGUGUCAACGAUGAAUUUCCAUGUGGCAUCGCGAUUCCGAUGAGAUAUUGAAUCCAUCAAUAUGAGACACGAUCUUUCACAAGAUC